AGCGGAUCUACUAAUGCAGAUAA
rnacentral:siRNA from 1 species